rnacentral:rRNA from 1 species
GAUGAACGCUGGCGGCGUGCCUAAUACAUGCAAGUCGAGCGAACAGACGAGGAGCUUGCUCCUCUGACGUUAGCGGCGGACGGGUGAGUAACACGUGGAUAACCUACCUAUAAGACUGGGAUAACUUCGGGAAACCGGCGCUAAUACCGGAUAAUAUAUUGAACCGCAUGGUGCAAUGGUGAAAGACGGUUUUGGUGUAACUUAUAGAUGGAUCCGCGCCGCAUUAGCUAGUUGGUAAGGUAACGGCUUACGAAGGCGACUAGGCGUAGCCGAACUGAGAGACUGAUCGGCCACACUGGAACGGAGACACGGUCCAGACUCCUGAGAGAGGCAGCAGUAGCGAAUCUUCCGCAAUGGUCGAGAGCAUGACGGAGCAACGCCGCGUGAGUGAUGAAGGUCUUCGGAUCGUAAAACUCGGUUAUUAGGGAAGAACAAAUGUGUAAGUAACUAUGCACGUCUUGACGGUACCUAAUCAGAAAGCCACGGCUAACUACGUG